rnacentral:tRNA from 2 species
AUAUCUAUUGCUUAGAGGUUAUAGCAGUGAGCUCAUAACUCACCAUACAGUAGUUCGAAUCUACUUAGAUAUA